rnacentral:rRNA from 1 species
CUCCUGACUGACCGAUAGUGAACCAGUACCGUGAGGGAAAGGCGAAAAGAACCCCGGCGAGGGGAGUGAAAAAGAACCUGAAACCGUGUACGUACAAGCAGUGGGAGCACAGAGCAAUCUGUGUGACUGCGUACCUUUUGUAUAAUGGGUCAGCGACUUAUAUUCUGUAGCAAGGUUAACCGAAUAGGGGAGCCGAAGGGAAACCGAGUCUUAACUGGGCGUUAAGUUGCAGGGUAUAGACCCGAAACCCGGUGAUCUAGCCAUGGGCAGGUUGAAGGUUGGGUAACACUAACUGGAGGACCGAACCGACUAAUGUUGAAAAAUUAGCGGAUGACUUGUGGCUGGGGGUGAAAGGCCAAUCAAACCGGGAGAUAGCUGGUUCUCCCCGAAAGCUAUUUAGGUAGCGCCUCGUGAAUUCAUCUCCGGGGGUAGAGCACUGUUUCGGCAAGGGGGUCAUCCCGACUUACCAACCCGAUGCAAACUGCGAAUACCGGAGAAUGUUAUCACGGGAGACACACGGCGGGUGCUAACGUCCGUCGUGAAGAGGGAAACAACCCAGACCGCCAGCUAAGGUCCCAAAGUCAUGGUUAAGUGGGAAACGAUGUGGGAAGGCCCAGACAGCCAGGAUGUUGGCUUAGAAGCAGCCAUCAUUUAAAGAAAGCGUAAUAGCUCACUGGUCGAGUCGGCCUGCGCGGAAGAUGUAACGGGGCUAAACCAUGCACCGAAGCUGCGGCAGCGACACUAUGUGUUGUUGGGUAGGGGAGCGUUCUGUAAGCCUGUGAAGGUGUACUGUGAGGUAUGCUGGAGGUAUCAGAAGUGCGAAUGCUGACAUAAGUAACGAUAAAGCGGGUGAAAAGCCCGCUCGCCGGAAGACCAAGGGUUCCUGUCCAACGUUAAUCGGGGCAGGGUGAGUCGACCCCUAAGGCGAGGCCGAAAGGCGUAGUCGAUGGGAAACAGGUUAAUAUUCCUGUACUUGGUGUUACUGCGAAGGGGGGACGGAGAAGGCUAUGUUGGCCGGGCGACGGUUGUCCCGGUUUAAGCGUGUAGGCUGGUUUUCCAGGCAAAUCCGGAAAAUCAAGGCUGAGGCGUGAUGACGAGGCACUACGGUGCUGAAGCAACAAAUGCCCUGCUUCCAGGAAAAGCCUCUAAGCAUCAGGUAACAUCAAAUCGUACCCCAAACCGACACAGGUGGUCAGGUAGAGAAUACCAAGGCGCUUGAGAGAACUCGGGUGAAGGAACUAGGCAAAAUGGUGCCGUAACUUCGGGAGAAGGCACGCUGAUAUGUAGGUGAAGUCCCUCGCGGAUGGAGCUGAAAUCAGUCGAAGAUACCAGCUGGCUGCAACUGUUUAUUAAAAACACAGCACUGUGCAAACACGAAAGUGGACGUAUACGGUGUGACGCCUGCCCGGUGCCGGAAGGUUAAUUGAUGGGGUCAGCGCAAGCGAAGCUCUUGAUCGAAGCCCCGGUAAACGGCGGCCGUAACUAUAACGGUCCUAAGGUAGCGAAAUUCCUUGUCGGGUAAGUUCCGACCUGCACGAAUGGCGUAAUGAUGGCCAGGCUGUCUCCACCCGAGACUCAGUGAAAUUGAACUCGCUGUGAAGAUGCAGUGUACCCGCGGCAAGACGGAAAGACCCCGUGAACCUUUACUAUAGCUUGACACUGAACAUUGAGCCUUGAUGUGUAGGAUAGGUGGGAGGCUUUGAAGUGUGGACGCCAGUCUGCAUGGAGCCGACCUUGAAAUACCACCCUUUAAUGUUUGAUGUUCUAACGUUGACCCGUAAUCCGGGUUGCGGACAGUGUCUGGUGGGUAGUUUGACUGGGGCGGUCUCCUCCUAAAGAGUAACGGAGGAGCACGAAGGUUGGCUAAUCCUGGUCGGACAUCAGGAGGUUAGUGCAAUGGCAUAAGCCAGCUUGACUGCGAGCGUGACGGCGCGAGCAGGUGCGAAAGCAGGUCAUAGUGAUCCGGUGGUUCUGAAUGGAAGGGCCAUCGCUCAACGGAUAAAAGGUACUCCGGGGAUAACAGGCUGAUACCGCCCAAGAGUUCAUAUCGACGGCGGUGUUUGGCACCUCGAUGUCGGCUCAUCACAUCCUGGGGCUGAAGUAGGUCCCAAGGGUAUGGCUGUUCGCCAUUUAAAGUGGUACGCGAGCUGGGUUUAGAACGUCGUGAGACAGUUCGGUCCCUAUCUGCCGUGGGCGCUGGAGAACUGAGGGGGGCUGCUCCUAGUACGAGAGGACCGGAGUGGACGCAUCACUGGUGUUCGGGUUGUCAUGCCAAUGGCACUGCCCGGUAGCUAAAUGCGGAAGAGAUAAGUGCUGAAAGCAUCUAAGCACGAAACUUGCCCCGAGAUGAGUUCUCCCUGACUCCUUGAGAGUCCUGAAGGAACGUUGAAGACGACGACGUUGAUAGGCCGGGUGUGUAAGCGCAGCGAUGCGUUGAGCUAACCGGUACUAAUGAACCGUGAGGCUUAACCUU